rnacentral:rRNA from 1 species
GGUUGAUCCUGCCAGUAGUCAUAUGCUUGUCUCAAAGAUUAAGCCAUGCAUGUCUAAGUAUAAACAACUUUAUACUGUGAAACUGCGAACGGCUCAUUAUAUCAGCAAUAAUUUAUUUGAUGGUUUCUUACUACAUGGAUAACUGUAGUAAUUCUAGAGCUAAUACAUGCGUAAAGUCCCGACUCUUGCGGGGAGGGAUGUAUUUAUUAGAUAAAAAACCAAUGCGGCUUCGGUCGCCUUUGUGUUGAAUCAUAGUAACUUAUCGGAUGGCAUAGCUUUACGCUGGCCACAG